rnacentral:rRNA from 1 species
UACGUAGGGUGCGAGCGUUAAUCGGAAUUACUGGGCGUAAAGCGUGCGCAGGCGGCUUUGCAAGACAGAUGUGAAAUCCCCGGGCUCAACCUGGGAACUGCAUCUGUGACUGCAUCGCUGGAGUGCGGCAGAGGGGGACGGAAUUCCGCGUGUAGCAGUGAAAUGCGUAGAUAUGCGGAGGAACACCGAUGGCGAAGGCAAUCCCCUGGGCCUGCACUGACGCUCAUGCACGAAAGCGUGGGGAGCAAACAGG